AGCCGCUGAGCCCUUCACCGCCUCUGAGAUCCGCAGUCGCCGCCGCCCCUCUGAUUCUGGCCGACGCCAUCCGACUCACGCGCCGGCCGCCACCAGCACGGCUCACCCUUGUCGCCCCAAUCGAUGCACAUCACCUCCUCGCCGUUCCCUCCCUGCGCGCGCCCCUGCGGCUAACCCUAGCCGCCAACCCAUGUGCGGCUGCUGAUGACGCCGCUCUGUCGAGCCCCCGUCCCCCGCUCGCCUUCUCCCCCGCCGUUGAUGCUCGCCCUCGCUCCCGGUCGCCACGCUGUGGCGCCCUUCGUGGAUGCCGUCAGCUCCGAGGAGGCCAGCGCCGCUGUCACGUCGGCCUUGCUGAUCGUGAUCCACGAGCUCACAUCGCUCAAUGGGUCCUCCCUCUCUAGGCUCCGCACUGCAUGAGGUCAUCGACUCCUUCGCCAGCCCCAAUUUACGGCCAAGCCCGAUUCUACGGAAAGUUGAUGUAAGUGAUCUUAUUACUGUCAUAUGCAAGUUAUAGGAAUUGGGAGAAGUUGUGUUACAUUAAAGCUUGUGUUGGAAGAACUGAUGAUUGGGUCACCGGUCAGCUCGUAUUAGAUGGGAGGAUACCACGGGUGUUAAGCAUUCCCCGAUUCUGGACACUUGAAUGUCGACUUAUCUCAUCUUGGAGAUCUUCUGGCAUUCUGAAUAUGUGCACUAACUGUUAUCUGUCUACUGUGUUUUUGAUGUGUAAUAAAUGGAUGCGUCCCUAAUAAGACACGGCUCUAUAGGGCAUAUUUCUGCAAUGAUUUGAUUUAAGUGAUCUUAUUACUGUCUUAUGCAAGCUAAUAUUUUUCCGAUCAAGGUUGUGUUGGAAGAACUGAUGAUUGGGUCCUCUGAAUAUCUCGUGUUACAGAAACAAUGAUCAAGGUUCAGUCUACUCUAAUGCCUGACUAUUGGAGGCCUUAAGCUAUUCGGUUAUUAUUAUUUUUUGAACUAGGGUUAAUGCCUUCACAUUUCAAAGUGUUGUGUGUGCAUUCGCAUAACUACUUGUGUUACGAGUGCAGGAUUCAAAGAAUUUCUGUUGGGAAAUCAAAGGGGGCAAUAACUUCAAUUGGGAGAAGUCGCUGGAAAAUAAGAAACUCGAUAUUGAUCAGGCAGGAAGGAGGAGGUGGAGGAGGCGAGAAGCUGUGGCGUCACGCUCUCCCCCGAUGCUUUCAAGUCAUCCGCCCUGCAGCUAACCUCCGAGCAGAGACCCAAGCCCAAGGGGGCGAUCAAUAUUUUCAAAGGAUGAUACUGUGAAGGUUUUCGCAUGCAGGUAAUUUUUGUGACCUAGCAGGAACCAUUAGUAUGCAGAUGUUGCCUUCUUAAUGAACAAGUUUACAAAUAGUCGAACGCCAUGCUAUGUUGUUCAUUAAUAUAUUCUUGCAAGUAAACUGGAUCUGGUUCUUCAUAGUUGCAGAUUUUGUAGCUUGCAAGAUUAGUAGAAGUUCAAAAUAAAUUGACUGUAGGUAAUGGAUCAGAGAAAGUCUAUCAAUCAAAUUAAUGUUCAAUUGCAUGGACAAGAGAAAGUAUAUUAUUAAUCACAAAUCUAAGAAGAUAGUGACCCUUGUAUUAGUUUUAGAGAAUUAACAUAAAAAGAUAUAUUAGUUUCAGAUUGAACUAUUGGCAAAAUAAUAUUUAAAUCUUCUGUACUCCACUGAUCUGCCAAUUCUACUGUUUUUGUACCACAAGGCAUGCUGUAAGUUUUUGUUGUCCAAUAGUCUGCUAACUUUACUCGCUAUAUUCAAGAUGUAUGUGAUGUUUAGUUUGUUUUAUUCCCUUCUAUAUUCAUGGCUUAUCCUAUACUAAAUGAGGACUAACAGAAACCAAUUUGUCAAUCUGUUAACCUGAUCAUAGCAACUGCUUAACUGGAAGUGAUCUUUUUGCUCUUCCUGCUAAUAUAGUGCAUACAUAUUUGAGCUGAAUUGGUUGUCUUACGUUACAUAUGGCAGUGCAAAUAUGAUCUUAUGUUGUUGUGAACAUUUAUAAUUUUUCAUACCUUGGCUUUCACUAAACCGUUCAUCACUAUUCAUACCAACGAGUGUGUUUAGUAUGUUUGUGUUGACUUAGCAACAAUGUAGAGGGUUUUCGGGGUCAUCUUGUGUCAAUGUUGACAAGAAGGUAACCCCCCCCCCCCUCAUAUAUGUAUGGCAAAGAGAAGACUCUGUUAAUUUGGAGCUAUGACAGAAGCACAUCCACUCAAGCUGCUCGGACCAUGUGUACGACUGCUGGGGAUCCCUGCGCAAUCCCACAGCUGGCAUAGAUGGACUGCUGUCACAGUGCGCAUGCAGAUAGACUAUGACGACAUUUUUGGUAGCGAGGUCUUUGCACACAUCAUGGCACACUUCCAAAUCUGGGCCAUCCUCGUGGAGUAAAUUUGUUGCAGUUUUUCUAAACGCUUGUUCAAGUCAGCGUCAUAUUCUUUCUUAUGUUUGUUGCUUGCAUACAAGGCCUGCCGUGUGGUUUUGAAUUUAUAGUUUUCGAGUCUUAGUAAUGCUGAAUCCAGUUUAAAUACAAUAUGAAUGAACUUUUAGUUUCUCAUAGCAUGUUGAUUUUGUUGGAUAUUUUUAUCUCAUGUCAUCUUUUUUAAUGAUGAUUUAAGAUUGAACAGAUAAUUAUUUGAUUAAUUUUUUGUAACAAGAAACUAAGAAUUGACCCUGGAUAAAGGAAGAAAAUGGUCCAUAUAGAAAGAGACAGUAAGCUUCUUCAACGGUAAGCCAUUCUCUGUACGGGAGAUGCACAUGUAAUUUUUUGUUUCAAACCAGAAUAUAUUAUAGAGCCUACAGUUCAGUGGUCUUUAAUUGGUUACUGCUAUUUACCAUCUGUUUAUCUGGUUUGCAUAGGUCUUUUGAGAACCGUUCUUCGACUGCAUGGUGUUUUCUUUGUAACAAUCCCCAUGUGUUUGAUAAAUGCCUAGCUAUAUGUUUUAUGCAGGUCAUUCACGAGAAGCAAUAAUCUAUAAGACUACUCGAGGAGAUUGAGAGCAUCAACAUUUUACAUGGAUGACCUGAGGGGGAAGACGAGACUCGGAAUGGUUUGAUGGUAAAAAUAGUCCAUACUGCCGCUGCAUGAGGACGGCAAAGGAAAAGCUCAAUGAAUGGCAUGUCAUGGAUGAGGAAAGUGGACCCCUCAAAAUAUUAAGGACAAAAAGAUUGGCUCAAGCUCAAAGAUCAAAACUCUACAUUUUAUAUUUUAGUGAUCCAAGAUCACAUUGAGUCUAUAGGAAAAGCCAAUACUAUCAAGGAGGGAUGAUGUGUUGCUUAAUGGCUUACUUGCUUCAAAGUGCUUGGUGAUAUGUUCCAAAACCCUCAACUACCUUCCCACAUCCACAUAUGACCUAAACCAAAAAGUCAAACUCGGCCCUACCGAUUCUUUCUAUCCGGAGUCACCGAGUUUCAAAUGUCAUAGCCACUGCCACAAAC